rnacentral:rRNA from 1 species
GAUGAACGCUGGCGGCGUGCUUAACACAUGCAAGUCGAGCGGAAAGCCCCUUCGGGGGAAUUCGAGCGGCGAACGGGUGAGUAACACGUGGGGAACCUGCCCCUCUCACUGGGAUAACUCCGGGAAACCGGAGCUAAUACCGGAUACUCCUUUCGGACCGCAUGGUCUGAUCGGGAAAGCUCCGGCGGAGAGGGAUGGCCCCGCGGCCCAUUAGCUAGUUGGUGAGGUAAUGGCUCACCAAGGCAACGAUGGGUA